rnacentral:rRNA from 1 species
AGCGAACGCUGGCGGCAGGCCUAACACAUGCAAGUCGAACGGCUCUUCGGAGCAGUGGCGGACGGGUGAGUAACGCGUGGGAACGUGCCCUUUGGUUCGGAACAACACAGGGAAACUUGUGCUAAUACCGGUUGUGCCCUUCGGGGGAAAGAUUUAUCGCCAUUGGAGCGGCCCGCGUUGGAUUAGGUAGUUGGUGGGGUAAUGGCCCACCAAGCCGACGAUCCAUAGCUGGUCUGAGAGGAUGAUCAGCCACACUGGGACUGAGACACGGCCCAGACGACUACGGGAGGCAGCAGUGGGGAAUCUUGCGCAAUGGGCGAAAGCCUGACGCAGCCAUGCCGCGUGAAUGAUGAAGGUCUUAGGAUUGUAAAAUUCUUUCACCGGGGAAGAUAAUGACGGUACCCGGAGAAGAAGCCCCGGCUAACUUCGUGCCAGCCGCCGCGGUAAAAC